UACGUAGGGGGCAAGCGUUGUCCGGAAUCAUUGGGCGUAAAGCGCGUGUAGGCGGUUCAGUAAGUCUGCUGUGAAAGUCCAGGGCUCAACCCUGGGAUGCCGGUGGAUACUGCUGGGCUAGAGUACGGAAGAGGCGAGUGGAAUUCCCGGUGUAGCGGUGAAAUGCGCAGAUAUCGGGAGGAACACCUAUUGCGAAGGCAGCUCGCUGGGACGUUACUGACGCUGAGGGACGAAAGCUAGGGGAGCGAAUGGG
rnacentral:rRNA from 1 species